CUCCCUACGGGACGCAGCAGUGAGGAAUAUUGGUCAAUGGGCGGAAGCCUGAACCAGCCAAGUCGCGUGAGGGAAUAAGGCCCUACGGGUCGUAAACCUCUUUUGCCGGGGAGCAAGGGCCGGGACGCGUCCCGGCCCGGAGAGUACCCGGAGAAAAAGCAUCGGCUAACUCCGUGCCAGCAGCCGCGGUAAUACGGAGGAUGCGAGCGUUAUCCGGAUUUAUUGGGUUUAAAGGGUGCGUAGACGGGAAAUUAAGUUAGUUGUGAAAUCCCUCGGCUUAACUGAGGAACUGCAACUAAAACUGA
rnacentral:rRNA from 1 species